rnacentral:rRNA from 1 species
GAGUUUGAUCCUGGCUCAGGACGAACGCUGGCGGCGUGCCUAACACAUGCAAGUUGUGCGAGAAAACUACCUUCGGGUAGCUAGUACAGCAGCGGACGGGUGAGUAACGCGUGAGUUAUCUACCUCUAAGUUGAGGAUAACUUCUCGAAAGGGUAGCUAAUCCUCUAUAAUAUACUCUGUAUCAAAGGCGGCUUUGCUGUCGCUUAGAGAUGAGCUCGCGUCCCAUUAGCUUGUUGGUGAGAUAACAGCUCACCAAGGCUACGAUGGGUAGCCGACCUGAGAGGGUGAUCGGCCACACUGGGACUGAGACACGGCCCAGACUCCUACGGGAGGCUGCAGUGGGGAAUCUUCCGCAAUGAGCGAAAGCUUGACGGAGCGACGCCGCGUGAGUGAUGAAGGCUUUCGAGUCGUAAAGCUCUGUCCUUAGGGAAGAACAUCUCAGUCGUUAACAUCGGCUGGGCUCGACGGUACCUAAGAAGAAAGCUCCGGCUAACUACGUGCCAGCAGCCGCGGUAC